CUCGCUGCUCCCCGCCGCGCCGGACGAGUGAGGCUGUCGGGGUGUGUCCCCGUGUCCGUGUUACUGAGAAGCGAAGCUGCUCUUCUUCCGCCCCCUCUCUCCCUGCCAGGGCACGAGGCUGAAGCCGGAGCCCGCUCUGAAGGAGCCGGUUUGAGGCUCGGGCUGCGGGUCUAGACCUGCCCCUGCUCGAGCCCCCUCGGGACACCGCAGACGCACCCUGAGCCGUCCUCACGCGCCAAGGGCCCGGCGGGGCACGCGGCUGUCACACGGGGGGGGCUCUCGUGUCUGGUGAACGGCGGUCGCACACCUGGCGCGCCAGCGUGCGGCACCCACGAGAGGACCUGGAGGCCCCCGACGCCCCGGCCGAGGAUCCCUGCGUCGGUGCCCGGGCGGAGCAUAAAUAGCAACCAAAAACAGAUUGCAAAAAGGCUCUUCCUAUCCUGUCUAAUCAGUGGUGUGGAUUGCGCUGGUGGUGAGCAUAUGUUCCAAUAAUGCCUCGACUUCACCCUUCCUUGAGGUUCAGGACCUUUGUGCCAGUGGAAUUAGCAUCUUUCUCCAGAACACGAGCGCCAUAUAAAUGCCACAAAGCUGCUAUCAUAUCAUAGGACAGAUACAGUAAUCCUGCACAUGAAAACAAAGAACAAGAACUUUAUUGCAAGGAGAUAUGCCAGCGUUACCAGGCUCUUGAAUGUGAUCAACUGAAGAUACAACUGGGAUAUGCUGUUUUGCUAAUCUCCCUUCUAAACUGUUUCAGGUAAUGUUUCUAGAUCCGUUAAUCUAAAAAUUCCAGGCUACCUUUGCACUUAGUUGCAAGCACACUGGAAGUAGUGAACUUUGUUCAGUUCAUUCUGUUCAGGUUUCCUUGUAAAGUGGAAUUUUAAACUGAAUAAAUAAAGCUCUCUUGCUUACCUUG